AGGGGAGUGAAAAAGAACCUGAAACCGUGUACGUACAAGCAGUGGGAGCACAGGUUUACCUGUGUGACUGCGUACCUUUUGUAUAAUGGGUCAGCGACUUAUAUUCUGUAGCAAGGUUAACCGUAUAGGGGAGCCGUAGGGAAACCGAGUCUUAACCGGGCGUUAAGUUGCAGGGUAUAGACCCGAAACCCGGUGAUCUAGCCAUGGGCAGGUUGAAGGUUGGGUAACACUAACUGGAGGACCGAACCGACUAAUGUUGAAAAAUUAGCGGAUGACCUGUGGCUGGGGGUGAAAGGCCAAUCAAACCGGGAGAUAGCUGGUUCUCCCCGAAAGCUAUUUAGGUAGCGCCUCGUGAAUUCAUCUCCGGGGGUAGAGCACUGUUUCGGCUAGGGGGCCAUCCCGGCUUACCAACCCGAUGCAAACUGCGAAUACCGGAGAAUGUUAUCACGGGAGACACACGGCGGGUGCUAACGUCCGUCGUGAAGAGGGAAACAACCCAGACCGCCAGCUAAGGUCCCAAAGUCAUGGUUAAGUGGGAAACGAUGUGGGAAGGCCCAGACAGCCAGGAUGUUGGCUUAGAAGCAGCCAUCAUUUAAAGAAAGCGUAAUAGCUCACUGGUCGAGUCGGCCUGCGCGGAAGAUGUAACGGGGCUAAACCAUGCACCGAAGCUGCGGCAGCGAACGUAUCACCCAAGACAACUUUACGGAGUUGACGAUUGACGGAGCGAAGCGACGUCAAAGCGUUCAUUAAAGUCGAGUUGGCUUAGGGAUACGUUCGUUGGGUAGGGGAGCGUUCUGUAAGCCUGUGAAGGUGUGUCGUGAGGCAUGCUGGAGGUAUCAGAAGUGCGAAUGCUGACAUAAGUAACGAUAAAGCGGGUGAAAAGCCCGCUCGCCGGAAGACCAAGGGUUCCUGUCCAACGUUAAUCGGGGCAGGGUGAGUCGACCCCUAAGGCGAGGCCGAAAGGCGUAGUCGAUGGGAAACGGGUUAAUAUUCCCGUACUUGGUGUUACUGCGAAGGGGGGACGGAGAAGGCUAUGUUGGCCGGGCGACGGUUGUCCCGGUUUAAGCGUGUAGGUGUGUGUUCCAGGUAAAUCCGGUUCACUUUAACACUGAGGCGUGACGACGAGGCACUACGGUGCUGAAGCAACAAAUGCCCUGCUUCCAGGAAAAGCCUCUAAGCAUCAGGUAACACGAAAUCGUACCCCAAACCGACACAGGUGGUCAGGUAGAGAAUACCAAGGCGCUUGAGAGAACUCGGGUGAAGGAACUAGGCAAAAUGGUGCCGUAACUUCGGGAGAAGGCACGCUGACACGUAGGUGAAGUGAUUUACUCAUGGAGCUGAAGUCAGUCGAAGAUACCAGCUGGCUGCAACUGUUUAUUAAAAACACAGCACUGUGCAAACACGAAAGUGGACGUAUACGGUGUGACGCCUGCCCGGUGCCGGAA
rnacentral:rRNA from 2 species